rnacentral:rRNA from 1 species
UACGGGAGGCAGCAGUGGGGAAUAUUGCACAAUGGGCGAAAGCCUGAUGCAGCUAUGCCGCGUGUAUGAAGAAGGCCUUAGGGUUGUAAAGUACUUUCAUCGGGGAGGAAAAAACAAAACUAAUAAUUUUAUUUCUUGACGUUACCCGAAAAAGAAGCACCGGCUAACUCCGUGCCAGCAGCCGCGGUAAUACGGAGGGUGCUAGCGUUAAUCAGAAUUACUGGGCGUAAAGAGCACGUAGGUGGUUUUUUUAAAGUCAGAUGUGAAAUCCCUGGGCUUAAACCCUAGGAACUGCAUUUUGAAACUGAAAUACUAGAGUAUCGUAGAGGGAGGUAGAAUUCUAGGUGUAGCGGUGAAAUGCGUAGAUAUCUGGAGGAAUACCUGUGGCGAAAGCGGCCUCCUAAACGAAUACUGACACUGAGGUGCGAAAGCGUGGGGAGCAAACAGGGAUUAGAUACC